CUCGCUUGUGCUUACGGCAAGCACACGUUGAUCGAUCGACAGAGACGAUAGCAAUGUCCGAGCCGGAGUCCGUCCUCGAUCACCGCCACCUCGCGGCGGCGGCGCCGGCCGCCGGCGAGAUGAAGAAGGACAAGGGGAAGGUGAAGCUGUCGCCUUCCGCGUGGAGAUCGCCGAAUCGGAGCAGCAGCCACAGCGGGAGCGGCGAGGAGCUCGACGGAGACGCCCCGAGAUCCGGCGGCGGCGGCGGCGGCGAUUCCUCCCUCCCCGCCGCCAGGUUCACCUCUCGGAACGCUUCCUCCAAGUACGACUUCGUCAAGGUGAAGGUGUGGUUGGGGGAUAAUUGCGAUCAUUACUACGUUCUCUCGAGGUUUCUCCUCAGCAGAAUGUUGACCGUCACUAAGAUUCCGAAUCACGUUGCCAUCAAAAUUGCCCUUGAACUGAAAAAGCUGCUCAUAGACAACAGCCUUCUGGAUGUCUCUCAGUCUGACUUGGAAGCUAACCUCUUUAAGCUCAUGGAGCGGCGGGGUUAUGGAGAGGAGUAUAUAAAUCGUUACAAAAUGAUGACUAGAUUUCACCAUCAAAGAGUGCCUUUGGUUAUCCUAGUGUGUGGGACUGCCUGCGUUGGAAAAUCUACCAUUGCAACACAGCUUGCUCAGAGAUUGAAUUUACCAAAUGUCUUACAGACGGAUAUGGUAUAUGAGCUUCUGAGGACCUCAACAGAUGCACCACUAGCAUCCAUUCCUGUUUGGGCACGAGACUAUAGUUCACCCGAGGAGCUGAUUACAGAAUUUUGUAGAGAAUGCAGAAUUGUUCGUAAGGGCCUUGCUGGCGAUUUAAAGAAGGCAAUGAAAGAUGGUAAGCCAAUCAUUAUCGAGGGAAUACAUCUGGACCCAAGCAUUUAUUUAAUGGAUGACGAGAACAAAUUGCCUGCUGAUGAUCCAGCAAAAAGCAAAGAGGCAAAACCCUUACCUGUUACAUCAGAUGGUUAUACUACCACUCAAAUGGAAAAUAAUCCUCCAUCUAUCUGUGGUAGUCAUGAUGAGAAUAGCAAUAGCUCCCUUGGGCAAGCAAACUUAGAAGAAGUUUAUGUUGACCAGUUGCCUAAAGUGUCAGUUUCUCUGGAAUCUAUGCACCUAGCUGGAAAAGUCACUGAAUGUCAAAAUGUCAAGGAUGCAGAGGAAAAUAAAACUAUGGUGACUAGGAAAGAAAAGUCUGGUGCUGAACCAAUAAUUGUUCCUAUAGUUUUAAAGAUGCCAGAAUUUGAUCAUAAGGCAUUACUGGAGGAAUGGAUCUCAACACGGACAUUCGGUGGUAAAUGUCUUAUUGAGGACAAGGAUAGGCUGAUAGCCAACUUAAAAACUAUUCAAGAUUAUCUCAGCUCGUUUACAACACAGGGUUUGAUAGUCGUUAAUGUAGCUGCAACAACUUUCCCGCAAACAUUAGAUCAUCUUCACAAUCAUCUUCUUGAGACUUGGAAUGAAAUCUUAUCUUAAUACCUAUUAUGAUAUAGCUGGUGAUGUCCCUUAAGAAAGCGGUUGACUCUCGAAAAAGUCACAUUUAGUAGAUUAUAUCUGCAGCCUUUGAAUGACACUAUAAAUAUUCGGACUUGUGCUUCUACAAUAUUGUUGAGCUCGGGAACCUGCGGAUUGCUAUUAUUGUGUAUUGAAAAAGGUAUUUCAUCAUCUUCGAGCACAAAUGGCAGGCAAUCCGUGGAAAAAUAGUUAGGGGUUGGAUGAUAGUUUGAGCCUUUUCUGGUGUUAAAGUAUCAUAACGAAAGAUGUACGAUAAAAGGCAAUGUGGUAAAUAUCCCAAAUGUGUGGCAAUGUGAGAGAGCAAAUCUGAUAAGAAAACGUUGUAGACCAACUGAAGUAGCCUGAAUGCUGCACUGGAAGCUUUCUACAGGCAGCAGAUUGUCUCAGAACAGUUCUUCCGUUGCCCAUGGGAAAGCGCAUGCAACGCUUCCUUCAGAGGCAAUAGCUGUUGACUUUGUAUCGACACAAAAAAGACGCGAGUGAAAAUUGGUGCCUAGUUUAUACUCAUCGGCAGCUGAAAUGGUUGUGAAACAUGAUGGAUUGUAUGAGUGCUUCAUUUUGCAUUUUAGUUUGUAGCCAGUGAAUUGGACACGCCAUGUACAUUAUGAUGAAAGUCAUAUAGUCUUUGCUUGAGUGGUUAGAUUGGAUAUCAAGAAAGGAAUGCGGACUGGUGAAUGGAUUCUUAAAACAAAUUGAACAAUUA